rnacentral:rRNA from 1 species
GAUCUGGCUCAGGAUGAACGCUGGCGGCGUGCCUAACACAUGCAAGUCGAGCGAUCUCUUCGGAGAGAGCGGCGGACGGGUGAGUAACGCGUGGGUAACCUGCCCUGUACACACGGAUAACAUACCGAAAGGUAUGCUAAUACGGGAUAAUAUAUAAGAGUCGCAUGACUUUUAUAUCAAAGAUUUUUCGGUACAGGAUGGACCCGCGUCUGAUUAGCUUGUUGGCGGGGUAACGGCCCACCAAGGCG